GACGAACGCUGGCGGCGUGCUUAACACAUGCAAGUCGAGCGGUAAGGCCCUUUCGGGGGUACACGAGCGGCGAACGGGUGAGUAACACGUGGGUGACCUGCCCUCAGCUCUGGGAUAAGCCUGGGAAACCGGGUCUAAUACUGGAUAUGACUCCAUGACGCAUGUUGUGGGGUGGAAAGCCUUGUGCGGCUGAGGAUGGGCCCGCGGCCUAUCAGCUUGUUGGUGGGGUGAUGGCCUACCAAGGCGACGACGGGUAGCCGGCCUGAGAGGGCGACCGGCCACACUGGGACUGAGACACGGCCCAGACUCCUACGGGAGGCAGCAGCGGGGAAUCUUGCGCAAUGGGCGAAAGCCUGACGCAGCGACGCCGCGUGAGGGAUGAC
rnacentral:rRNA from 1 species